AGUGAACGCUGGCGGCGUGCCUAAUACAUGCAAGUCGAACGGAGAUUAAGUAGCUUGCUAUUUAAUCUUAGUGGCGCACGGGUGAGUAAUAUAUAGCUAACUUGCCCAUUACUAAGGGACAACAGUUGGAAACGACUGCUAAUACCUUAUACUCCGUAUCUAUAUAAGUAAAUACGGGAAAGUUUUUCGGUAAUGGAUAGGGCUAUAUCGUAUCAGCUAGUUGGUAAGGUAACGGCUUACCAAGGCUAUGACGCGUAACUGGUCUGAGAGGAUGAUCAGUCACACUGGAACUGAGACACGGUCCAGACUCCUACGGGAGGCAGCAGUAGGGAAUAUUGCUCAAUGGGGGAAACCCUGAAGCAGCAACGCCGCGUGGAGGAUGACACUUUUCGGAGCGUAAACUCCUUUUCUUGGGAAAGAAUUAUGACGGUACCCAAGGAAUAAGCACCGGCUAACUCCGUGCCAGCAGCCGCGGUAAUACGGAGGGUGCAAGCGUUACUCGGAAUCACUGGGCGUAAAGGACGCGUAGGCGGAUUAUCAAGUCUCUUGUGAAAUCUAACGGCUUAACCGUUAAACUGCUUGGGAAACUGAUAAUCUAGAGUAAGGGAGAGGCAGAUGGAAUUCUUGGUGUAGGGGUAAAAUCCGUAGAGAUCAAGAAGAAUACCCAUUGCGAAAGCGAUCUGCUGGAACUUAACUGACGCUAAUGCGUGAAAGCGUGGGGAGCAAACAGG
rnacentral:rRNA from 1 species